rnacentral:misc_RNA from 1 species
AGGUGUCCGCUGCGAAAUGGGAUGCCCAGUGCCUAUGCCAUGCUCCCCCCCCGCCCAUCGAAGAUGGGGGGCCAUGGCAUAGGCACUACCCCCCCUCGUCGGGUUCGGAUGUCGGUCCGGCGGUCUCCGACCGUCGUUCCGAUCGCCGAUCCGGCGAGGGGGCGGCCAGGUGGGAUGGUAGUGCUUUGUUGCUAUUUUUCGAGAGGAGAGGGACGGUGCACCUCGGAUUUCGGUUUUUCCAACGUAUUGAAAGGGCAAUCGUGGCCAUGGCUUCGGCUUUUGGAUUAGCAUGCGAACGGAGAAUGCCAUGGCCGGAUCAAGAUUUGAGUUUUAACCUCUCGGGGAAGCGGAACACUGUCUCUACUUUCUUGUCUGGCCGUCGAUGGAGAUUAUUCGUUACUCUCCAUCCUGACCCGUCGGAAAAAAUAUUUUCAAAAAGCUCGGUCUGGUGGGCUAGUAGUGCUGCGUUGCUAUUUUUUGAGGGGAGAGGGACGGUACAUCUCGGAUUUUGAUUCUUUCCAACGUAUUCAAAGGGCAAUCGUGAACCGUGGCUUUGGCUUUUGGAUGAGCGUGCGAACGGAGAAUGCCGCGGUUGGGUCAGGACUCGAGUUUUAACCUCUCGGGGGAGCGCAACACCUUCUCUACUUUCUCGUCUGGCCGUUGAUGGAGAGUUUUUCAAUAUUCUCCAUCCUGUCCCGUCGGAAAAAAUGUUUUCAAAAAAACUCGGACUGGUGGGCUAAAGAGAUUUUUGUCCCUCGGAUAAAGAGAUUUUUCAUUAUCCUCGGAUAACGGAGAAUCGUUGGUUUUUAAAAAUGCUUUCCAAAUGUCCCCUAAAGUUUUCGUCCCUCGGAUAAAGAGAUUUUUCAUUAUGCUCCAUAUCAAAACAUCCCGAAAAAAUGCGGAAGAACUAGCAUGCUUAGGCUUGUGCUAACUUGAUGCAUCAUAAGGUUUGUUGCGGUGGGUUGGGCGUAACGGAGAAUCGUUGGUUUUUAAAAAUGCUUUCCAAAUGUCCCCUAAAGGUUUUCGUCCCUCGGAUAAAGAGAUCUUUCAUUAUGCUCCAUAUCAAAACAUCCCGAAAAAAAUGCGGAAGAACUAGCAUGCUUAGGCUUGUGCUAACUUGAUGCCAUCAUAAGGUUUGUUGCGGUGGGUUGGGCGUAAUGGAGAAUCGUUGGUUUUUAAAAAUGUUUUCCAAAUGUCCCCUAAAGGUUUUCGUCCCUCGGAUGGUGUGUGUUUCUUCACGUGAAGCGGUGCUGGUGGUGGUCUUGCUUGAUGUUUCCGCAUGCUCAACGUUUCUAGUAAUCGUUGGGUUGUGGUUCGUUUGGUUAGGCCAUCAUCGGAUGGACGCAACUCAUGUGUGAGUGGUGGUCGGAUGGCAUGGGUCUGCAAGCUCCUUGCUCAGCGCAACGAAUUGUAAGCUCUCCAUCCUUUUCAUAGUCUUCCCCGAGCAUGGUCAUUUGCCUUGUGGGUAAGGUCGGUAUCCUGUGUUUUCUACCGAUUGAACGGAAUUCGGUUGUUUUCAUUUCCUUAUCCGCCCGGUUCCCUUAGGGGGUGUUGGGUGGACGAUAGGCCGACCUCGUGUUCCAGGUACAUCUCGCAUCUUUGUGUGGUUACCAUGGCCCAUGGGGUUGUGCUUGUUCUCUCGGACGCGGACCGUUAGUUGUGGGCGAGGGGUUGUUAUUACGACCUCCAUUCGUCCAAGCUACUAAGCACUUGUCAAUCGACACGAACGACCGCCGCACUCGUCUUGGCUUGUACGGUCGAACGGCUGUACAAUGUCCAUGCGAGCGUCGGUGUCGUGAAGGAAUGC